AUCCUACAAAGUAUUGAGUAACUUCUCCGGUUUCUUUGAAAUAUGACUGUUCUUUUCAGUUGCCUUUAGAAGGAGGGAUCCUGAAGCCUUACAGUCCCUUGUGCUUAGACAGAUUUGUUUCUCUAGCUCAUCUGCCCUCUGCUCCUGUUGCUCUGCCUUCUCCCAUGUUCCCAAAAGUCUUUGAUAAAGCCUGACUCCUGCCUGUGCUGCUCAAGCUCCAGGGACCUUGAGAAUGCUAGGAGGGCCAUCUCCCCAUCUGGGACAGGACACAGGAGAACCAGUGACCAGCCCACUGGCUCAGCAGCACAUUCAGCUGGACACACAUUCACUAUAAGGGACAAAGGGACUGGCUGAGAGAGGAAGAAUCCGUGUGUGGCCUACAGGAAAGAGGGGGCUGAAGAGGACUUGACUUCACCAGCAGCAGGGAGAGAAGAUAAGAAUGGAAAAUCAGAUUGUU